CUUAUAUUAUUUCCUUCUGUCUACAGUAACUUCCAAAUUGUUUUUUUUGUAAGUGCUAACCACCAAAUUGUAUUUACACAUUAAAAUUCCAGUAGUGUUAUUUUGUAUUUACUUAAUUCUAGCAGAACCAGUAUUUAUUCUUAGAGAAUGCGUCUCUGUUCUAGCUAACUUAAAUCUAGUCCCCAGACUUACAUUUUGCUUUUUUCUCCCCAACAGUUAGAAUAUAUUUAUUGGUUCCAUCCAUACUUCUGUACUGAUGUAUUAGAGAAGCAGGAAGUUAGCUGUUGUUGAGUUACGUGUGGCUGUAUCCAUACUGCACCUGGGCUAGCUCAAAGAUCAUUUACUGCCUUAUGCAGCUCCUUUGUCAGUGGGUCUCUGACUUCUCCAGGCUAGGCUGUUGAAGAUUAGCUACUGAACUUGUGCCGACGGUCCCAAAUGGAAAUGAGAGGCAUCCUGUGAAAUGUUACGAUUUCUGGGUGUAUUUUCCUGAAUUGCCAUUAAUCUGGAUAAAUCUUUACUGUCUAUCAUGAAGUAUAAAGUUCCAUUUUGAAAUGGUUUGAUUUGCUGGAAGGGUGGAUUCCUUUCUCCCAAGCAGUGUAAAUUUCAACAAAUUAAUCACUUAUAGCCAUAAAUACAAGCAGAUGAGAAGACGGUUGGAAGAUGUUAGGAAGAUGUGUGUAAAACUGAAGUUAUAAUUAAUUAUUUCUUGAUGAGCCACUAUAUUCUUACCGUGUUUUAUGUAGUUGGCUGGAAACUGUCCAGGUUUUGUACUAGGUGUCAAGAUCUCAUAGUGUAAGUAAACAUGGCUGGAAAGAAAAAGCUGCCUUCUAUGAAUUUCUUGCACUAGAAUCUUUAGAGGAACUCUCCGGAAGAACUAGGAAUAACAAGAGCUUCCUUAUCACAAGAUGUCCUGAAGAUUGAUAGUGAACUGACAAGUGCAGGUAACUUACUGCCAAGCGCUCCCAGCAAGGUAGAAUUAAGCAACCAGGAGAUUAAGUCAUGUUGGACUUGCAUUAGAAAUAUCUUCAUAUGAAACGUGAAAGAUAAAAGUUCAAUAAUGAGGAACAGCUCGUGGGUUGUAUUCCUCCAAAUGAGUGGCAUGCAGUUAUGCUGGGCCAUGUGUGGGCUUGUAACAUCAAGCUACUAUCCAGUAUAUCUGGAUCACAGUAAUGAUCAAGCUCUUUUUGAGGAGGAUGAGCUUCAAGGCAGGUAAGUGAAAUUAUGUGGGUGUAUUACUGUGAAUCC
ensembl:lncRNA